GACGAACCGUGCGAACGUUGUUCGGAAUCACUGGGCUUAAAGGGCGCGUAGGCGGGCGGUCAAGUCAGAGGUGAAAUCCCACGGCUCAACCGUGGAAGUGCCCCUGAUACUGACUGUCUCGAGGGAGGUAGGGGCGUGCGGAACUUCCGGUGGAGCGGUGAAAUGCGUAGAUAUCGGAAGGAACACCGAUGGCGAAAGCAGCCCCCUGGGCUAACACUGACGCUCAGGCACGAAAGCGUGGGGAGCAAACAGG
rnacentral:rRNA from 1 species